GACAGAGGGUGCAAACGUUGUUCGGAUUUACUGGGCGUAAAGCGCGUGUAGGCGGCUUGGCAAGUCGGAUGUGAAAGCCCACGGCUCAACCGUGGAAGCGCACCCGAAACGGCCUCGCUCGAGUCUCGGAGAGGAAGGUGGAAUGCUUGGUGUAGAGGUGAAAUUCGUAGAUAUCAAGCAGAACACCUGCGGCGAAGGCGGCCUUCUGGACGAUGACUGACGAUGAGACGCGAAAGCGUGGGGAGCAAACAGG
rnacentral:rRNA from 1 species